rnacentral:rRNA from 1 species
AACGAACGCUGGCGGCAUGCCUAACACAUGCAAGUCGAACGAGACCUUCGGGUCUAGUGGCGCACGGGUGCGUAACGCGUGGGAACCUGCCCUUAGGUUCGGAAUCACUCCCCGAAAGGGGUGCUAAUACCGGAUAAUGUCUUCGGACCAAAGAUUUAUCGCCUUUGGAUGGGCCCGCGUUGGAUUAGCUAGUUGGUAGGGUAAAAGCCUACCAAGGCGACGAUCCAUAGCUGGUCUGAGAGGAUGAUCCGCCACACUGGGACUGAGACACGGCCCAGACUCCUACGGGAGGCAGCAGUGGGGAAUAUUGGACAAUGGGCGAAAGCCUGAUCCAGCAAUGCCGCGUGAGUGAUGAAGGCCUUAGGGUUGUAAAGCUCUUUUACCCGGGAUGAUAAUGACAGUACCGGGAGAAUAAGCUCCGGCUAACUCCGUG